UACGGAGGGUGCAAGCGUUAUCCGGAUUCACUGGGUUUAAAGGGUGCGUAGGUGGGUUGGUAAGUCAGUGGUGAAAUCCCCGAGCUUAACUUGGGAACUGCCAUUGAUACUAUCAGUCUUGUAUACCGUGGAGGUCAGCGGAAUAUGUCAUGUAGCGGUGAAAUGCUUAGAUAUGACAUAGAACACCAAUUGCGAAGGCAGCUGGCUACACGAGUAUUGACACUGAGGCACGAAAGCGUGGGGAUCAAACAGG
rnacentral:rRNA from 1 species